rnacentral:tRNA from 2 species
GGUAGCCGCCGGAGGACGGGCUUUGUUGAUGUCAAAGACUACAUGGGUGAAACCCUAUGCUACUA